UACGUAGGGGGCUAGCGUUGUCCGGAAUCAUUGGGCGUAAAGCGCGCGUAGGCGGCCCGGUAAGUCCGCUGUGAAAGUCAAAGGCUCAACCUUUGAAUGUCAGCGGAUACUGCCGGGCUAGAGUCCGGAAGAGGCGAGUGGAAUUCCUGGUGUAGCGGUGGAAUGCGCAGAUAUCAGGAGGAACACCAACGGCGAAGGCAGCUCGCUGUGACGGUACUGACGCUGAGGCGCGAAAGCGUGGGGAGCGAACAGG
rnacentral:rRNA from 1 species